UACGUAGGGAGCGAGCGUUGUCCGGAAUCAUUGGGCGUAAAGAGCGCGUAGGUGGGUAGAUCAGUCUGCUGUGAAAGUCGAAGGCUCAACCUUCGAAAGCCGGUGGAUACUGUUUAUCUUGAGUACGGAAGAGGCGAGUGGAAUUCCUGGUGUAGCGGUGGAAUGCGCAGAUAUCAGGAGGAACACCAAUAGCGAAGGCAGCUCGCUGGGACGUUACUGACACUGAGGCGCGAAAGCGUGGGGAGCAAACAGGAUUAGAUACCCUGGUAGUCCACGCCGUAAACGAUGGGUACUAGGUGUGGGAGGUGUCGACUCCUCCCGUACCGCAGCUAACGCACUAAGUACCCCGCCUGGGGAGUACGGCCGCAAGGCUAAA
rnacentral:rRNA from 1 species